rnacentral:rRNA from 1 species
AGAGUUUGAUUAUGGCUCAGGAUGAACGCUGGCGGCGUGCUUAACACAUGCAAGUCGAACGAUGAAGCCCACUUGUGGGUGGAUUAGUGGCGAACGGGUGAGUAACACGUGAGUAACCUGCCCUUGACUCUGGGAUAAGCCUGGGAAACUGGGUCUAAUACCGGAUAUGACUGACUAUCGCAUGGUGGUUGGUGGAAAGCUUUUGUGGUUUUGGAUGGACUCGCGGCCUAUCAGCUUGUUGGUGGGGUAAUGGCCUACCAAGGCGACGACGGGUAGCCGGCCUGAGAGGGUGACCGGCCACACUGGGACUGAGACACGGCCCAGACUCCUACGGGAGGCAGCAGUGGGGAAUAUUGCACAAUGGGCGCAAGCCUGAUGCAGCGACGCCGCGUGAGGGAUGACGGCCUUCGGGUUGUAAACCUCUUUCAGUAGGGAAGAAGCGCAAGUGACGGUACCUGCAGAAGAAGCGCCGGCUAACUACGUGCCAGCAGCCGCGGUAAUACGUAGGGCGCGAGCGUUGUCCGGAAUUAUUGGGCGUAAAGAGCUCGUAGGCGGCUUGUUGCGUCGGAUGUGAAAGCCCGGGGCUUAACCCUGGGUCUGCAUUCGAUACGGGCAGGCUAGAGUUUGGUAGGGGAGAUCGGAAUUCCUGGUGUAGCGGUGAAAUGCGCAGAUAUCAGGAGGAACACCGGUGGCGAAGGCGGAUCUCUGGGCCGAUACUGACGCUGAGGAGCGAAAGCGUGGGGAGCGAACAGGAUUAGAUACCCUGGUAGUCCACGCCGUAAACGAUGGGCACUAGGUGCUUGGGGGAGCGACCCCCUGAGUGCCGGCGCUAACGCAUUAAGUGCCCCGCCUGGGGAGUACGGCCGCAAGGCUGAAACUCAAAGGAAUUGACGGGGGCCCGCACAAGCGGUGGAGCAUGUGGUUUAAUUCGACGCAACGCGAAGAACCUUACCUAGGCUUGACAUGCACGGGAAACGCUUUGGAAACAGGGCGCCCUCUUCGGAGUCCGUGCACAGGUGCUGCAUGGCUGUCGUCAGCUCGUGUCGUGAGAUGUUGGGUUAAGUCCCAUAACGAGCGAAACCCUUGUCUCCAGUUGCCAGCGGGUCAUGCCGGGGACUCUGGAGAGACUGCCGGUGUUAAACCGGAGGAAGGCGGGGAUGACGUCAAGUCCUCAUGGCCUUUAUGUCCAGGGCUACACACGUGCUACAAUGGCCGGUACAGAGCGUCGCCAACCCGCGAGGGUGCGCCAAUCGCAAAAAGCCGGUCUAAGUUCGGAUUGCAGUCUGCAACUCGACUGCAUGAAGCCGGAAUCGCUAGUAAUCGAGGAUCAGCCAUGCCUCGGUGAAUACGUUCCCGGGCCUUGUACACACCGCCCGUCACGCCAUGGAAGCUGGGGGGACCUGAAGCCGGUGGGCUAACCGCAAGGGGGCAGCCGUCAAAGGUCAAUUCAGUGACUGGGGCGAAGUCGUAACAAGGUAGC